rnacentral:tRNA from 1 species
UCCCCGGUGGCUCAGAUGGUAAAGCGUCUGCCUACAAUGCAGGAGACCCAGGUUUGAUCCCUGGGUCGGGAA